rnacentral:tRNA from 1 species
AAAGUUUUAAGUUAAUUAAACUAAUAGCCUUCAAAGUUAUAAAAAAGAGUAUAACUCUCUUAAACUUUA